UUUUCAGUGGAGCUGUGUAAUUGGGGAAUUAAAUCGUCUGAAUGUUGUCAUACAUGCUAAUUACCCCGACUACACCAAGAGGAAAAUCUUCACCUCGCACGUCGUGUAUGAAGUUGGAAGAUGAUAACGUCUUCAAUUUGCACUCCCCAUCUCGGUGCACGAAGGUGGAAAUAUUUCAGAUGGAGGAAAUUGCAUGGAAAUCCCAGCCCUGGGCUCGUGCCCACGCCAAAGCAGUCGGGAUGAGAGUGGGGAUCCUGAGCCACAAGUCCUCC
rnacentral:lncRNA from 1 species